AGUGCCUACUGUGUCGUGUGCUGAAGUGUAGUGAAUAAAUACAAUCGGAGAGCUGAACAUUUAAGUCCAAUCAGCCCACUUUGCUACAGCUUUACUGGGUGAGGAACACUGUUGGCACGUUACCCAGCAGAGGAGGGACUAUCAGGACAGGGUUUAUCUGUGUAUCCCUGGCUGUCCUGGAACUCAGAGAGAUCCAGCUGCCUCUGUCUCCUGAGUGCUGGGAUUAAAAGUGUGCACCACCUCCACCUGUCGUAUUAAUUAACUUUAAAGCCACACCAGCAGCCCGAGCGAGAAUGUGGCCACAGGAGGGGCUGUGCUAAGUGCAGGACAUCCUCAACAGGACACCACGCAUGAAGAAGAAAGAACUGGUUCACAGUUCUUCCUACAGAGUGAUCACAACUGUAGGUCUAUACAACCAAAGAGGAAAUUAAAAAGUAAACUGUGAAAACAGAAAGCCAUGUUAAACAAAGAUCUGCCUGCUCACCAAGGAUCAGCCACGUGGCAAUCAGAGGACAAAGGCCGGCAGCCUGUGGGAGAGAGUGCUGGUGUUGCCACUCACUGUGGAAGGUUAAACAGAUACUAGUACCAACUGGCGAAAGGAGUUACAGAGCUCGGUGGAGAUGGUGGCAGAGAGGACCAUCACUCUUCCCACAACGAUGACUACCACAGACACCUUCAGACUUCGGGCAGUCCACAGUUCUGUAAGCAAGGAUCAGCAACUGUAUGUGCUUUCCUCCAGUAAACCUCGGAAUGAGACAGUGGCUCUUGGAAAUACAUCAAACCCAGUCCUUGAAUUACCUUCAAAUCAACCACAAAUACAAUUCAGCCAAACAGUUCAAGAUGCAACUUCUUGUGGUUGGGUGUAUUGCUCAGUGGCACGGUGUGUCUGCAGCAUGCACAGGGUCCUCGGUUAAUCCCCUGCGCAAACCCCCACCAAGAAAAACUUUUGCCUUUAUUGUGUAGUAAUUCAGAUAUAAGCCACACAAUCUUCUUCCCUUUGCCUUUCCCUACCUUUUCCUUCCUUUAACUUUCCCUUUAAGAGAAAGGGCUUCAUGUUGCCCAGGCUAGCCCUGGACUCCUGGACACAAGUGGUCAUGUCACCAUACGUGACAGAACUGCAUUUUCCCCUUCCUCCCCUACCUUUUCCUCUUUCCUUGUCCAUCUUCUCCUCUGUAGUAUCCCAUUCCCUGUGGGGACUUAAACCCAAGACCUCAUAUAUACUAGGCAAGUGGUUGGCACUGAGCCACAUUCCUGUCUUAGGCUCUCUAAUGAUCUUUUUAUUAAUCAUUAUGAAUUUAUAAGUUUCAGAAUAUUUUAUGCAUUUCAAUUAAAAUUGCAAACGUCCCAACACUGUAACUCAGUUCUUUUUAAAUAUGGCUUAUUGGGGUAUGGUUUAUGUACAUUGCAGUAGAUCUCAAGAACUUCUUUGCUUUCUAGAAUGGCAAAGUAUUCCCUGUUCAUUUAAUUUUUUUUUCCUUUUGAGAACCAUGUGCAGGCAUGCCCCUCCACACAUGCACAUGAGCAAGUACACAUGCACAAGCCACAUGCCAAAAAAAAAAAAAAUGAAACUAGAUUAAUUCAGACAUUCAUGUAAAGUCUAAAAUGAGACAAUGAAAAUUCUUCAAUAUGUAGGAACAGCAAGGACUUCCUGGGAUAGAUUCUAAGACU